rnacentral:lncRNA from 1 species
UGGAUUUAUGAUGAUAUAGGACCUUGUCUGAAUAUAAUGAUUUCAAAAAUUGAGCUUACAGUGACUGAAAUCUAGUCAAUGUGCCUCACCCUAGUGGUACACACUUGUAGUCACAGCACUUGGGAUGCUGUGAUAAGAUUGUGAUUUCCAGGCCCUCUUAGAAAAGGAAAGCAAAUGAUCAGAUUUGAAGUGAGAACAUUGCAUACUCCGGAAAAAUGUUUGUAUAUUCUUUAAUGGCAUCAAGGUAGUUAUUUCUGAGGAUAAUUCAAGUACAAGAAUUAUAGGGUCA